UUUUCUGCAAGAGAGAUAUCGUUGUCAAUCCAAUUUUACUAAACCACAUACACAGUCUGGAUUAGCAGCUACCCAUCACAUCCAGGAUUCCUGUGAUGACAAAGAAGAAAUGCAAACACUUGACAGACCACAGGAUAAGCUGGGAUGCUUCAGUAGACUAAACAAGGCAGAACUCCUGUGUCUCCUGGGGCAACAGACAGUAGGUGGCAACCAAUGGAUAAUGAUCCUAGGAAGCUCCAGCACCAUAACACCAAACACAAUCAACCACUUUUAACACCAAACUUUCUUCCAGACCCCAUCUGAAGGGGUGAUUCCCUAAACCCCAACAAUACACCCUCCCCUACUGGUCAAGAAGAUGAAGAGGAUGAGCAUGAGAGCAGGGUUUCAGUCAACUAACAGAGAAAGACUCCUGUGUGGAAGUCAACCAAUCAUCCCAGAAAGCUCCAGCACCACAACUCUGAGCACUCUGAACCACUUUCAGCACCAAACUUUCAUCCAGAAAGGACCUCUUUACCCCCUCCAACCCACCCUCCUCCAGCAGCCAAGAGGACAGCUCGAGAUCAGUGUUUCAGUCAACUCAGAAAAGGGCCUGGUGCCACAAGGAAUCUUGAGGAGGCUUAGCCCCAUCAGUCGUAUUUUCCCCCCCCUCUGUUUAAGAUUCACGUUUCUUCACUUACACAAUAUCAUUUACCACAGUAACAGUGGAAAUCUCAGCUGUAUAUUUGUAUUGGCAGCCACUGAGUCACACUCAGCAGAACAGAUUGUGACACAUUCUGCUUGUGUGUUCUUGGGAAAGUAUUUCAGCUAAUUGACUGCAGAGACACAUGAUUUACAGGAAACAUGGGAAAACCAACAUCAACCACCAAACAAAACACAAGCUGCUCAAUGUUGACUUGAAGUUUGUCUUACCAGUUCCAUCAACCUGUUUUUGUUAGUCAAUCAUUUACAGCUCCUGCUCUCUUAGAAAAAUCAAGUUGACCAGUAAAAUGUUGAAUGAAGUUA